GAGCUUGCUCCCUGAGAUUAGCGGCGGACGGGUGAGUAACACGUGGGCAACCUGCCUAUAAGACUGGGAUAACUUCGGGAAACCGGAGCUAAUACCGGAUACGUUCUUUUCUCGCAUGAGAGAAGAUGGAAAGACGGUUUACGCUGUCACUUAUAGAUGGGCCCGCGGCGCAUUAGCUAGUUGGUGAGGUAAUGGCUCACCAAGGCGACGAUGCGUAGCCGACCUGAGAGGGUGAUCGGCCACACUGGGACUGAGACACGGCCCAGACUCCUACGGGAGGCAGCAGUAGGGAAUCUUCCGCAAUGGACGAAAGUCUGACGGAGCAACGCCGCGUGAACGAAGAAGGCCUUCGGGUCGUAAAGUUCUGUUGUUAGGGAAGAACAAGUACCAGAGUAACUGCUGGUACCUUGACGGUACCUAACCAGAAAGCCACGGCUAACUACGUGCCAGCAGCCGCGGUAAUACGUAGGUGGCAAGCGUUGUCCGGAAUUAUUGGGCGUAAAGCGCGCGCAGGUGGUUCCUUAAGUCUGAUGUGAAAGCCCACGGCUCAACCGUGGAGGGUCAUUGGAAACUGGGGAACUUGAGUGCAGAAGAGGAAAGUGGAAUUCCAAGUGUAGCG
rnacentral:rRNA from 1 species